rnacentral:lncRNA from 1 species
UUCAUUUGGGGUUUAAGUAUAAAGGGACACUUGAACUGACCGAAGGGGACAAUUACGUUCUCCACAUUUGCUCUUGGGGUGAUCUCAGAGCACACUGGCAUAUCAGAGAGCAUGAACUAACAGAGCGGGUCUUUAGGGCAACCGGAGGGCAUGUGGGCCCCUCGAGUGAGUGACCCUCUGGUGGGUCAUUAGGGGGAAAAUUGAACAAGGGGAUGUCACAUUGGGGCAUCGACAUGACCUGAUUAAGUCAAAUAAAAGGGUAGUGGGUGGUUGCUACAGCAGCUCCACUGUUAAAUAUCACCCUUCAUAUAUUCUACUUCAGCUGUUUCCGGCUAACACUUAUUUUCACAGACUUUUUUGAGAGCUGUGCGUUGCCAUGGCGAUAUAAUUCACUUGGCUCUUCCCCUCCUAUGGGGGGGAUUGUUGUCUUAGUGGUAUAAAUGGACAGGCUGGAGUGGAUAGAUAACACAAAACACAAUGCAAGUCUGUAGGCCACACACACACUCACACUCACACCAACACACACACAUACACAUGCAGAGCUGAACAUCUGGGUGGUCUUUCAAGAGCUACAAGGGUUAAUGACAGCCCUGUUUGGAGGGAUUGACUGCUAAGCCACAAACACACAUCCAUAUAAACAUGCACACUCACACACACUCUCACACACAUACACACAACUCCCUGCCAUCAGCGUCACACACUCAACAGAGAAGACGGACUGAAUGGUAGACAUGCAGAACAAGACUUUUCCAGAGAUACUUUUGAAAUGUGUGGGAGCAGCACGGAUGUAAACUGAACGAAAGCAGCUUUAAAUCACAAAGAUAGUUUGCAUGACAACUCUGCUCAGUUGAAAACAAAUAAUUAGGAGCUUCCCUUUGGCACUGUAGUUGGUAACAACUCGGGUUUUUCUUUUGAAAUGGAGUCGAUCAAAACUGAAUAGAAACAAUAAAAGGAUUUUUAUAAAGUAAAGAUAUUCAGUGUUUUAGCACUGCCCUUCUUUUUGGUUUUUGGAGUCACUAUGAAUCUUGGGACAUCAGCUUUUCAAGUGUCUGACCAUCUUUUAGAUCUACAGCUAGCUUGCCAGUUGCCACUCCUUCUUCUUGGUCUCCUUUUUAUUGCAGGUGCCAACUGCUCCCUACUAUAAACCAAUUACCUACACAGUGUUACUGUAUGCUUACUUUUAGAACGUAACCACAUAUAAUAUAUAAAAAAGAAAUAGUAAUCAUCAGCUCCAUCAUGUUGAGAUAAUAACAGUUCUUCCAAACUUGAAUAUAUGGUCUGAAUCAACGUGAAGCCCAAAAUUAUGCACAAAAUAUAACUACAUAGAAGUGCUCUGGACAGUGUCUUCAAUGAUGGGAGGGAUGUCACAAGAUGCAUGUUGCAAAGGAUGCUGAUUGGAUUUGUUGGAUACACUUUUUAACAUCUUUCAAAUAUAGUUAUGAUGGUACAUUCACACUAAUUUUAAUAGGUUAACACAUAAACUGUUAGUGAAAAACUAAGCAGACACACUCAUAAGGACAAUGUAGAGGGACCAAUCAACCGAGGAGCAUUUGGACUGAAGGAGGAAGUCAGACCUUUUUGCUGUCAGGCAACAGUGCUGCCCACUGCUCCAACCCAAUUCAGCUUUAGUUAUGUUUUUAAUCUUCUUGGUUAUUAUGGUCUCAAUUUUUGAGCAUUUUAAUUGGUAGAUUUUGUUUAUAAGCACUCUAACCUCAGGAAUAGCUCCAAAACCAGCCCAAGUUCUCCAAGGCGGCAAGGCAACGGGCCUAUUUUUAAAAUGUAUUUAUAUUUAUUUUCUUAUUUUUUCGCAUUUACGAGAGGAAGUCCCUUUCAUUUUGAAUUGCAGUGUAUCUGCUCUGAAAGGCUUAAAAAUUCCUUUAUAAUACUUUUAAACUCCUGAACCUUGUUUUUGAGAGCCUCUUUUUUUCAUCUUAUAGCCUCUUCCACAUCAAAGUAACCUUUCAUGGUUUUUUAAAGUUCUUGUUUCCUUCCCUUUUUUAUGUUGUCCAGUCAACGGGUUUUCUCUGCACAUGAAAUUGUAGCUGAUUUCACAUGCUUUUAGGUCUUACUGUUCCUCUUUAACAGCCCAAAGUUGUUCUUGGAAAGCUUUGUUAUUUUGUCUCAAUGUCUCUUUUCUAUGAAACAAACUAUUCCUGGCCUCCUGAAGUUCUUGGGACACAUCAGGUUUGCUGAGAGACUCAGUCUCCUGCUUUUCUGUGUUGUACUUUUGCUGUUCAAGGUCAUCUGUUGAAUUUUCAGAAAAGGAGACUGACUAUAUUGGCUCUUGUAUAGCCUUUUGCUCCCUUUAAAUCUGUGUCAAAAUAAACAAGGUUGUCAAAAUGUGGCUACUGUGGCCUUAUACUACUUCAUUGUCCUCUUUCAUUAUACUCUUGAAUAGGCUUUGUGCUUCAACUGCAGCAGAUGCUACUAUUUGAUUUUAUGAAUGCAUCUUUCAAUACACAUCUAUAGCUGUAGUGUAGAUGCUGAAAAAGAAGCAACAACUAGUUCUCCUCAAAUCUCUGACAAAUACGUUGCAUUGAGCCUCUGAUGAGUGAUUUUAAACAUCAGCAUAUUUUAGACAAAUACGAGGAUUGGUCACAGAUGUGGUACCAGCUUUAAACCAAAUUUGUCCGUAACCAUGGAGCUCGAGAGAGUCCUUUGUUUUACUCUUUGCACCUUUUUUCAUUUGUGCUAUAGAAAAAAAAAUAAACUCACAUUGUAACGUUAGAUUUAAAGGCUUAGAGACGUAAUAAAAAAUCACCUUGUUACCCUGCUUUUGCUUUAUUAUUUCCAAGACAAGAAACUCUGAAGUUCUCAAACUGCUGGUUAUUUGUGAGAGGAUAGAAAAGGCCAAAGGACUGAAGGGGGCGGUCAAAGAUGAAAACAGAUGAAUGGGUUUGUGUGUAAGCCUGUAAAAAACAGCUGCAGGUUUUGUUUUGGGAACCAACAUUGUCCCCCCUACACACACACACACACACACACACACACACACUCAUGCACUACUAACACAACGUCCCAGCCAAGUCACCCCAAAGGAGUGAAAAUGCGCCUGUCACGCACCUUACCCUCCCACUCCUUCAAAAAACAAAAGCCAAUCACUUCGAGUUUGCAUUGACACUGAGGUACACACACACACACAAAUGCAAACACACAACAGCGCUCUUGCGUUUCCACUCGAACACCGAGACGCAUUUGUUUUUGUUUUUUUCAUGCAUGCAAACUCACAAGCACACAAUCUCAUCAACCCCCCUCCUACAAACACACAAGAGCAUCCACAAAUAAACACUUACUCAUGUUCCUCCAUUCACUGACUCAUUUUAAAUAAAAUGCAGACACGCUGUAGGAAACUCUGACUAUGCAAACCCACUCACAUGUAUCACAUUUAACCUUUUUACAUCAGCAAAAUCAGAUAUAUUUGUACAGGAAUUAUUUUUUUAACCGCCUAAUGUGUUUGUCUGCAUUGCCCUGCACAUCUGCUUUUCUUUGCAAAGUAACAAUUUUUCACGCAUGCACUGUGUGUGUGUUUGUGUGUGUCUUGUGUUUAUAGGUGCCAAAGGCUGGACCAGGGCUUGGUGCCAGCGUGGAUAAAGAGCAGAUGGCGACCCUGACAGGGCAGAAAACCUCCAGUUCCCACAUUCUCCUGCUCUAUUCAGCCUUCACUCCUAUACUUGCACUGGCAGCAGGGCAUGUGUGACGGGGAUAGCCCAGCAUUAUACUCCAAUGCACAGUCGUUUGUAAGGAAAAUAAGGGGAACAAAAACGUCUGCUUUCAUGUGUAUACUAUUUCUUUUCAUGGGGUAAUCAUUCAAGUGAUGGGAACUGGGCAUUUGUGCCAGGCCAAUUACUGGAAAAAAUCUCCCAAGACAUGGGUGACCCCUUGCCAUGAUAACAGAAUCUUUGUAGAACGAUGCUUUUAUUUUGAAGAGUACAGCUGACAGUUGAGACAAUUAAAAGGAGUUCACAGACAGUCUGCUGCUUCUUCUUCUUCAUCCCUCCUUUUUUAUGACCUGUAGCAACCAGUUUAAAGGACCAGCACUCGGCUCCCAAUGUUACUGUCCAUUUAUUUUUAGCACAAUAUCAAUAUCUAAUAAUUUAACACAAACAGUUAUGUCAAUCAGUGCACAGCUAAAUCAGUCUAAGCUCAUAAUUUGUUUUUCACCAAAUUGGACUUCUCUCCUUGUCCAUGUAUACAUGCAGCUGAGAAAAUCGAAUUAUUGACAUGAACGUGAUCUCCUCCCCAAAACUAGGAGGCAAUAUAGGUCUUUUCAGCACCGCUGUUUCUAGACCUUUUUUAAAGAUGUCUCCAUUCCUCAUUUUGCAACCGUACAUAUAUAUUAAAAUGUCCAUUUCUGUCAGGACAGAAAGCAUAACACCGCUCUCCUCGUCGUUUCAAAAGUGGACAUUUUCAUGCUUCAGCCAUGUUGCAGUUGCUUCUGUGUCGAAAGUUCUUUAAAUGAUAGUACCACUUCUUCUCUGGUGUUUUUGUUCAGAAGUUACUGAGAGGUGGCGCACACACACACAUGCAUUGUCCAAUCACACUCCGACUAUGCUGAUUACAUGGUAGAGAAAAUCGAAUUCCAAUGGCAUUAUCUGGGUGUCUUAAUCGUGGUUCCCCGACUCCACUUGGUUGUUCUCAAAUUCAAACUGGUCUUAAUCGGAGUAAGGCAAUAAUUCAGUUUUCCUGAGUGUCAUGUAAACGUACUAACUGAUACAGCCUAUUAUUUUUUCUGAAAGUUGGCGGUUGGGGUAUUUGAUUACCAGACCAAAUAUUUUUACACCACCUGCUAUUAUCUUAUAUUGAACUGAGUAUUUCUGUCUGUUUGUUGCCUAAAUGCGCUCUAAAUUCUCUAAAAUUGGAAUUGUGUUUCUUGUACAGUCGGUCAGCAUUCAGAGAUGCAGUGUGAAGCAAUUAGUGGCUUUUAACAGUGCAGUCUUGUAGAAGUCAGAUAGCAAAAUAUUUUAGAGUAGAUUUCAAUAAGUGUAUAAUAUCAGACAUAUGAAAAUUAGUCUUUUAUAUCUCCUCCACAGAGGUGGCUUCAUUGCACCGCUGUAAUUCUACUGUAGCACAAAAUGAAUAAACUCUCAGUAUAAACAUUUUUGUGUUUAGUGAGUGGCUGAUUGAAAGACAAAGCAGAGGAAGUAGUGGAGAAUAGUUGUUGUGCGCAGAAGGAUUUGUGUUGAAAGAAUGUUUGUCCCCAAAGGCCAUCGUUAAUUCAUUAACAAGAGGGGUGAACAAGGGAGCGUCUCAGUCCAGAAUCUGACUACUAGAAAUUGCAAAAAUACCUAAUACAAGAGAGUGUUCUCUUCCACCUAUUUCUAGACAUCCAAAUUACCUCAAACUUUGAAAUUGUUAACUUUUUAAAGCUGAUAUAGAAGUGUCCAUGAACAGAUGAAAGAAUGGCAUAUCUAAGUUGUGAAAAAGCACUACGAAUACAUUACUUAGGAAAUAUUUAAUUUAACUAAACUAAAUUUUAGGGUACAUUUUAAAAAAAGUCCAAAACUUGAGAAUUUGAAAAAGAGUGACUUCUACGUACAACAGCUUAUCAUUUUCAUUUAAGAACUGGUCGCUCUCUUAUGUACAAAGACUCUGGUAGGAGUUUUCUUAAAAGAGAACUGAUAUGUCCAUCUCUGAAUGACAUGUUUUGUAUGAUGAAAAGGGUACGUCUUCGGUGUAAUCCACAAACAUUUCUUCACGUCCUGUUUCUUUCUGAAGAAGAGGGGGAUCACUGAGUCAGACACGAGGGAGGACAUGAGAGAGACAAAAGAGGAAAUGAGAGAUGUGUCAGAGGAUGAAAACAAAGACAACCCAAGAAGUGGAUUGUGGAAAAAAAAAACCUUCUGCCUUUUCGCUCUGGUGAAUUCUCAGACCAAAGGGCAACUUCUGCUUCUUCUCCUUUCAAACCGACAAAGUGACGUCCAACCUGUGUCAGUCACUGUCUAAUUCAGCUGUCAAGUGUUUUAACUGCAUCUGGGUCUGAGUGAUGGUAAAAGAUUGACCUGGGUGAAGUGGGUCUCACUCCGAGGAGGGUAAACACAGACUUACACAGUCAGAGGAUGCUAAAAUUUAUCUUUUAACAUUUUAAUUAAAAAGUGCUGAGAGGCCUUUCUCAGUCUUAUUCAAUAUAGAGAGACAGUUUACAGAAGCUCCAGAUCAGCUUUUGU